AAAAGCAAAUAAGAGCGAAUGGUGGAUGCCUUGGCUUGAGGAGGCGAUGAAGGACGUGAUAAGCUGCGAAAAGUCGGGAGUAGGUGCAAAUAACCUUCGAUCCCCGAAUAUCCGAAUGGGGCAACCCGGUACGGUGAAGCCGUAUCAUUCCGUUAAACGGAAGGCAAACGUGGGGAACUGAAACAUCUAAGUACCCAUAGGAGAAGAAAACAAAAGUGAUUGCGCAAGUAGUGGCGAGCGAACGCGCAUUAGCCCAAACCAAUGAUGUAGCGAUGCAUUGUUGGGGUUGUAGGACUACGAUAUCGAUUAUAUAAACGAAUUGGAAGCAAUUUGGAAAGACACGCCGCAGAGGGUGACAGCCCCGUACAGGUAAGUUUAUAUGAUUGUAGUAGUAUCCUGAGUAGCGCGGGACACGAGAAAUCCUGUGUGAAUUAGCGGGGCCCAUCCCGUAAGGCUAAAUACUCCCUCAAGACCGAUAGUGAACCAGUACUGUGAAGGAAAGGUGAAAAGUACUUCGAAUAGAAGAGUGAAAUAGAUCCUGAACCCGUUCGCUUACAAGCGGUCGGAGCUCCGUACUUUACGGAGUGACGGCGUGCCUUUUGCAUAAUGAACCUACGAGUUACUUUUACCGGCGAGGUUAAGCACUUCAGGUGCGCAGCCGAAGCGAAAGCGAGUCUUAACAGGGCGCCAUUUAGUCGGUAGGAGUAGACGCGAAACCAAGUGAUCUACCCUUGAGCAGGUUGAAGUUUUGGUAACACAAAAUGGAGGACCGAACCGUUGAACGUUGAAAAGUUUUCGGAUGACUUGAGGGUAGGGGUGAAAGGCUAAUCAAACUUGGAGAUAGCUCGUACUCCCCGAAAUGCAUUUAGGUGCAGCGUCAAUAGAGUUUACUACAGGUAGAGCGACUGAUUGGAUGCGAGGGUUUCACCGCCUAUCAAGUCCUGAUAAACUCCGAAUGGUAGUAAAUGCUUAUUGGCAGUGAGGGCGCGGGUGCUAAGGUCCGUGUCCGAGAGGAGAAGAAUCCAGACCAUCAGCUAAGGUCCCCAAAUAUACAUUAAGUUGCAUUAACGAAGUCGAACUGCAGCGACAGCUAGGAUGUUGGCUUGGAAGCAGCCAUUCAUUUAAAGAGUGCGUAACAGCUCACUAGUCGAGCGGUUUGGCGUGGAUAAUAAUCGGGCAUAAAUGUAUUACCGAAGCUAUGGAUGCAGACAUAAUCGUCUGUAUGGUAGGGGAGCAUUCCUGUCAGCUUAGAAGGCGUAAGAUAACUUACUCUGGAGCGUCAGGAAAAGCAAAUGUAGGUAUAAGUAACGAUAAGGGAGGCGAGAAACCUCCCCGCCGGAAGACUAAGGUUUCCUGAUCAACGCUAAUCGGAUCAGGGUUAGUCGGGGCCUAAGGCGCAGCCGAAUGGCGUAGCCGAUGGAAGAACAGGUUAAUAUUCCUGUACUACUUAAAUGAGAGAAGUGGGGACGGAGCAGUGAAAGUUCUGCGCACUGACGGAAUAGUGCGUUAAAGGGUGUAGGUAUAUUGAGAGCAGGCAAAUCCGUUUUCAAUGCCGAACCUGAUAGUACCGGGCGUACUUGUACAACCGGAUAAUGAAUGUAAUCAGACUCCCAAGAAAAUCCGCUAUCGUUAAUUGUUUAAGUACCCGUACUACAAACGGACACACGUGGUCAAGUAUAGUGUACUAAGGCGCUCGAGUGAUUCACAGCUAAGGAACUAGGCAAAAUAGUCUCGUAACUUCGGGAAAAGAGACGCUCCGUGUAAAAGUGGAGCCGCAGAGAAAUGGCCCAGGCGACUGUUUAACAAAAACAUAGGGCUUUGCAAAAUCGCUAAGAUGACGUAUAAGGCCUGACACCUGCCCGGUGCUGGAAGGUUAAGAGGAGAGGUUAGAGGUAACUCAACGCUUUGAAUUGAAGCCCCAGUAAACGGCGGCCGUAACUAUAACGGUCCUAAGGUAGCGAAAUUCCUUGUCGGGUAAGUUCCGACCUGCACGAAUGGUGUAACGAUCUGGGCACUGUCUCAGCUGUGAGCUCGGUGAAAUUGUAGUAUCGGUGAAGAUGCCGAUUACCCGCAACGGGACGGAAAGACCCCGUGAACCUUUACUGCAGCUUAACAUUGAAUUUGGGUAAUUGAUGUGUAGGAUAGGCCGGAGGCAAUGAAGCAGGCGCGCCAGCGUUUGUGGAGCCAUCCUUGAAAUACGGUCCUUUGGUUAUUUGGGUUCUAAUUCCGCUAAAGCGGAAGACACUGUUUGGUGGGUAGUUUGACUGGGGUGGUCGCCUCCAAAAGCGUAACGGAGGCUCCCAAAGGUGCGUUCACGUCGAUUGGUAACCGACGGUAGAGUGUAAUGGUAUAAACGCGCUUGACUGAGAGACCGACAAGUCGAUCAGGUAGGAAACUAGGGCAUAGUGAUCCGGUGGUUCCGUAUGGAAGGGCCAUCGCUCAAAGGAUAAAAGGUACUCCGGGGAUAACAGGCUGAUCAUUCCCAAGAGCUCAUAUCGACGGAAUGGUUUGGCACCUCGAUGUCGGCUCGUCACAUCCUGGGGCUGGAGAAGGUCCCAAGGGUUCGGCUGUUCGCCGAUUAAAGUGGCACGCGAGCUGGGUUCAGAACGUCGUGAGACAGUUCGGUCCCUAUCUGUUGUGGGCGUUUGAGAUUUGCGAAGGUCUGAUACUAGUACGAGAGGACCGUAUUGGACGAACCUCUGGUCGAUGAGUUGUUCCGCCAGGAGCAUUGCUCAGUAGCCACGUUCGGUUUGGAUAAGCGCUGAAAGCAUCUAAGCGCGAAGCCGGCUUCAAGAUUAGAUCUCAUUAUUUAGGGUCGUGGAAGACUACCACGUUGAUAGGCUGCAGGUGUACAAUAGUGAUAUACAAGCCGAGCAGUACUAAUUGCCCGAACGCUUUUUAAC
rnacentral:rRNA from 1 species